CACAUGCUUCCAUUAGCAGCGGGUUUUUUGACAUGUCACUAUAGAUAUAUACAAGAAGACCGAACAAGAAUUCAUUCUUAAAUUACCUUA